UUCAUAUCAUGUUUGCAAGAGACAGUUGUCACAUGAAGUGGAAGAGUGCAUUCUGUCAUUUAGUUGAAGAAAAUGACAGUAACUUUUUAAUUCCAAGGUAUUGAUUUUCUUUGAGAGUAACUUUUUAAUUCCAAGGUAAUGCAUUUCUUGGAUUUGGUACCAUAAUCUUUGGGGCAUUAUUCAAUGACAAACUUGUCGUAAUUUUCACCCCAGCCUAUCUGAAUUGGCUAUCAAGGUUAAUGUCUGAUAAGACUAUGCAGGAUAUGUCACAAACUUUGUGCAAGCAUGUCAAUCAAGAGAGUGAAUGCAUUUGCUGCUAACAAUUAUAACAACCUUGUCUGUUAAUUGCCAUUUUGUUGAAAGGCUUGUUAUGCGCCAUUUUCUAAAGAUUAAGGAUGGAAAUCAAUUAGACGC
rnacentral:lncRNA from 1 species